AACGAGACUUGUAGGGAAAUAUUACAUUGAGGUGAUUUUUGCAGGUCCAAUGGAGUCGGGGACGAACGGGGAGGAACCCACUUCGUGGGAUGAGUUAUACAAUAUCAAUUUGAUGCCUUCCGAGUUCUUUCUCAAGUUCCGAAAACAAGUUCAGGGUAUUCGAGUUGGUCUCAAUAUGGAGUUCUAUAAUGCUCCAAUCAAUGAAUAUCAAGCAAAGCUUGUAUUGAAGCCUUUAGCACUUGAAUGGAAAUGGAAGUUAAUUUAUGAGCCCAUUCAUCAUGAUGUUCGCAUCCUCUCAAAAAAGAUCCCCAUUACCAAGUUUCUGAAUCUUCAGGUUGGCGUAGGACACAAUUUUCAUGUGCAUGCUACUGGUUGGAAAUGGAAGCUCACCACAUGUUUGGGCGGAGAUGGUGUAUCCCGGAUCCGUAAUAAGACUUCAGUUGGCUUGUUUCCUGGCUUUGAUUUACGGUUUGGAUGGAGGGCAGACUAUGUUCUGCCCGAAAUUACUGGGGCUCUGGGUACUGAUGAACCAAUGUUCAACAUGCAAUCAGGACGACUACAAGCAUCACUUGAUAGAGUUGAGGCCAUCUUAACCCACAGUGAUGAGGCUUGAUUUGGGCAAAGAAGAUAAUAGAAGAGAGUGUAAACGAGGUAUAAUCCUCUUUCGCUUUUGGGAGAAGUUAUUGAUGAUGAUAUCUGCAAACAGGACAUAGAUACUGAUGCAAGUCAAUUUUUAAAGUAUUUCACUACCUGUAUGAAAUGCCUACAAGCCUCAAAGUGGAGUUAUAAGCUGAUACCGCGAGAGUUAUUUUGAAUUUGUGACAUGGCCUUCCAAUAUGAAAUUAAUGGAGCAGUUAAUAAGGAGAAAAACUACUCGUUAGUCAAAGGGCUAUUUGCUUUGUGCGUACAUUGUUUCAACAGAGUCAAGUUAUUAACUUGCUUCGCCAGCAUGAUAAUUUGUACAUGUGGCUGUAAUUAGUGUUUAUUUCAGAUCCAAAUUUGAGAUGUUGCAAAUUUCUUAUUUACUCCACAAAAUAAGAAUGUAUCAUGUCCAAUCAUGAUGUUUGCGUUGAUACGCAUCACCAACGUAUGAAACUACUAUCAAUUCCAUUUAUAACGUAGCUCCAGGUAUGAUUCCUAAUCAUCAAGUGUCAGAGGCAGUUUGAAUGCCUGUGGAGGGAAUAUUGCACCAUUAAAGAAUGAGUAAAGUGGGGCCUGCUAUAU